CUUGCAUGAUACCAGGUCUUGCUUCUGCUUGUCGUGUGAUCGGUAAAUCAGAAGUGGUGUCAAUGAACACAUCACAGCUGACAUGCUCUCCUCUGUUCUCCUUCAUGAUUUGACCCAAACGUGUCAACAGCUCUGGAAGUUCAAGGCCUGUCUGAUCUAAGUACCCAUACCUACACUCUUCGAUCAUGUCUUUGAGGGGUGGAUACUGCAGAUAUUUUCCUCUGACAUCUGAGCUCUGCUCUCUUGGUGAUGAUAUCAGUAUCAAUGAAUGAUCAAAUGAUCGAUCACUGAAACGUUCAAGGACUCUGCAGAGUCUCUGUUUGUGUUCCUCAGUGAAGUCCUCAGGCUGUAAAACCAGCAGGAACACAUGAGGUCCAGGAUCAGAGAGUCUCACACAGUCUGUCACAGUUUUUGUCAGUUUUUCUUCAGAGAUGUUGGGAUGGAUCAGAUCUGGAGUGUUGAUGAGAACUAUGUCUUUGUCCUUUAUUCGACCUUUUUCUUUCAAACAGUCACCACACUCCUCUUUGUCGAACACACUCUCUCCCAGUAUGAAGUUCCUCACUGAGCUCCUCCUAGACUCGCUGUUGCCCAGCAGAACAACCCUCAGCUCAGACACUGUGAGAAACAAGGAUAUAGAAAAGAUUGACUUGUACCUGCAUUGACUUAUAACUUUAUUCCUAGCUCAUUUCAAAUGUUUGAUUAUCUACUCAGAGGUUUUAAUCACAGAUUCUCAGGGAUAGAAGUUUCACUCACUGUCAGGUGGUAAAAAUUUAAAGCUUCUGCUUUUCCUCAGAGGGAAUGGACCACCUAAAAUCAGAAAGACAAAUAUGGAUAUGGGUGAUCAAAGUUUUUCAUUGUUAUCAUUACAGUUAUUAAAGCUCCAGUGAAGAGUUUUGAACCAAUUGUGAAACUCACUGAAAUGAAUACUAAAGCCUCUCAAUGACCUACAGAAGCCAACAAGACCAUCUGCAACAUGUUCACUAUCAUUUAUAAUGUACAUUUUAAUGUCUAAAACAGAGAAGAUUGUCAGCCAGCUGUAGAAAAAGCAUUUCUUUAAAACUUUGUAACAGUAAAUAUCAGUAAUGAAUGACAUAUUUGAUUACUGAGAAAAGUGGGGUUAGAUUCAUUUUGAAGAAAAAGCUCUUUGGCAUUUCCAGAAUAAAAUCAGUUCAGUAAUAAAAUGUAAAUCUUUGACCGCUGGGGUUGAAAAACUUGACACAGACCAAACAUGGCUCACAUAAGUUUUAACAUAAAUUGACCUCUUGUACAUUGAAUAUAACAUGAAUUGAUAUGUUUGAUUCAAACCUUAGUUUUAAGACACAUUUCUCUCAAACAGAUCUUUUUCUAUACCACUCAGUAACACCUCCUUUUGUUGUGCUCCUCUCUCAUGUGGAGCCUCUCAGGGGUCUUUCCCAGUUUCCCUUUUAUUCACUGUAAUCAUGCUCCCCUGGGGCAUGGUGUAAACUUUCACUGCUGUGCAGAUGAUACUCAGCACUAUAGCCCUAUGCCCUGUUAAAACCUGGCACCACAGCUGUGUCUCACAUUAUGCCCUGAACAUUUUCUGCAGUUGAAUGACUCCAAAUCUACAGUUAUUGUCAUUUGCAAGUUUCCCAACGUGUCCUUGUAAAGUCGAGAACGUCUUCACUCUGGACAGAUGAUAGAUGCAUAUAGCAUCGUUUCGCUCCUUUUUAUGCACUUUUGAAGGCUGUUUUCUUUUUUCCUUUUCUUUUCUUCCUCUACGCUUGUCUUGCUGCGAGAUGCGGUCGUCACCAUGUUUGUGUUUUUCUGAUACUAUGGCAACGAGACUCGGCUCCUAUUGGUCCACGUGACAAAAAUCGCUUCACCCCUUUGCAUAUUCGAUUGCGCGUGUGCAAGUAUCAUUACGCCGCAGAAAGGUAAUAGUUCGACACCGAAACACUGAUUACUAAAAAUCGACUGGAUGGCAGUAGAUAUAUUUUUUAGUACUUACUAUCAAUAGAGCUAUUUUAUGAAUCACAGUUUAUGUUGCCCCACUAAAGUGGAACGAAAUUCACUUUCUAGGCACUUGUUCCUCUGUCCCAAUACAGCCUAAGAGGUCUGAGUACAUCCUGGAAAUUUCAUCUUGUUUGGAGCAAAUUUGACCGCUUUCUGAUGCUUAAUGUACAGUCUUAAUUGGAUAUUGCCACGCCUUUCAUGGGCAGUUGAAAGCAUUUAGGGAAGUCAAACCACCACAGAUGUGAUCCUCAGGGCGGGCAGAACAACAUAGUAAAAUUUCAUCAUCCUAGGUUAAAAGGAAAAAAAUCUACCCCCCUGUGAAACUGGAGAAAAUCAGGGUCUGUGAAUUAUGCAUUCUUACAGCCUUUGUGAGCAGUAUUGAUGAAGAUCAAAUCCAGGUUCUAAUAUUUUGACUUGGGCUGCAUACACCAAAUUUAAGACACAUAUAAGGCCUAAGAGUAGUAUGUACUGUGAAUUUCAGCCAUUUCAGACUCAAGAGCAUCCAGUGUCCCAGGUUAGUUUUGUGUUUCUUAAAUCCAGAACUCACUGGCCUGAUUAAAUUACUGAUGGGGGCUCUUCAGUUUCCUCUAUGACAUGUAAAAUGAAAGGAGGGUUAGGGUUAGGUUUGGGUACCUGGAUUAUUCAAAGGCUGACAAAACUCACCUGCUGCUGCAGCCGCCAUGACCUCUCUCUGCUGGAAACACCACAGACCAAUUCAACUACAAAAGAGCAGAGUUUGAGGGUUUGAAAAAAAGGAGUACAAUCUAACAUCUGCUGCCAUCUAAACAAAGACUUUUUUCAGGAUAGGCCUUCAUAUUUCAGCAAGACCUUGACAAACCACAUUCUGACAACAGAGAUUAUAACAGCAUGGCUCUGUCGUAGAAGAGUCUUGCUGAGAAACUGGUCUGACUGCAGUCCUGACAAUCAUUUAUCUGGAACAUUUCAUAUGAUGAACCAAAAACAGCAAAGGAGACCCUGAACCUUUGAUUGGCUAAAAUCCUGACAAGCAAGAAUUGGACAUUAUUUUACUUUCACAAAAUGAGCAUUUAUUUCUAUUUCGAGCAAAACAGAUCAUUUUAAUAGUUCACAACACAGGACCAAGCAACUACUGUCAUCUACUGGUAAGAAGCUGCACCAUAAAAUAACUGUCUGUUCAGAACUGAGCUGCCAGAGUUUAAACCAGGAUCAGAAAACACGACCAUGUCACUUCUGUGCCAGCAGCUUUACACUUGCUACCUGUACCUUUUAGAACUGAAGUCUGGAUUUUACUGAUGACUUUUAAAGCCCUACGUUGCCUUUGAAACAUGUUAGUGUUGUACAAGUUGACCAAUACAUUGAGAUCCUCAGGUGUUUUUCCUGAGCUGUUUUAUGAUUACAAUGGUUAUGUUGGUGAAUACUGUCAUUCUUUCCACAAACUCUAUUUCGUUGCUUUGUCACCACUCAGAUUUUUGUCCUCUUCAUUCCUCUAGCUGUGUUUGUUUCUUUCAUUUGCUUUAUUUCCCUGUGUGCUUGCUGUAAAGCACUUUGGAUCAACUAUAGUUUGUCUAAAGCGCUCUAUGAUAAAAUGUGGUUUUAUAUACUUCUUUUGAGAAUUCUUUGAAAUGAAUAGUACAUCUUUUAAAUGUGGGUUAUUUCUUGAUCUUGGCCUUGUGUGAUUUUAGCUCUAUUUUUAUUCAAUAUUUUUUCCUGCCCUUGUAAAGCGAUAUGUAACCUGGUUUUUGAAAGUUAUUAUUGUUGCUGUUGUUGUGAAAAUAUUGCAUUGCCACCUGCUUAAAAUAAUGGUAUAAGUAUUUUUUUACUCAUGCCAUUAUUUUAAUAAGGUGAGAAAAUGUCUAUUCUCUUUGAUGCAGCUGGAUCAACAUCAUCUACAUCAUUUUUUAACCAAAAUGAACAUGUCAGACCAAAGCUGAUGACUUGUGCUGCUCCUGACAUCUAAAAUGGCGUCCGGAAUUUACGUCCUGUCUAAGGCUCGUCAUCACAGACUUCUCAGCAAGUCAACUCAUGUCUAAAAAUCUGAAUAAAUAACCAAUGAGUGGAAACAAGCAGGAGUUUAAUUCAGAACAGCCAAAUAAAAGAGGGGCUGUGAGGAUUUUCAAAGUUAAUGUGAAAUCGGAUCAUCCUGCAUUUUUCAUUGGGGUUUGUUCGUUAGAGUAGAGGAUAAUCAGACAUCACAUUUAGUUUGUAUAAUUCAGUUGGCAUAACAAUUAAUACAAAACAAACGUAAAGGUAAUCUACCAUGACUUGUAUCAUUUGGAUCUUUUUAAAUCAACUUUUAAUCGAGUUUACUCACCUCUGGAAUUUCUCGCUGUGACACAAUCAGCAGUGGAAGUAAAAGUAAAAAAUCAGAUAAGGGAUUCGGACAGGUUAGGUCACUAAAACAAAAAAAAAAAUGUAACACUUAUAACCUUUUUUUAUUGGCUCAGAACUCUGUCACUCACAGCAGUCCUGCUCAGAUAUUAGUUUGAUUGGCUGUCACACAAGGACGAUUCUUGAUUGGAAAAUAACCCACCCCAUCUCAGAGCCCAACCCCACCCACCCCACCCUACCCUCACACACACACACACACACACACACACACACACACACACACACACACACACACACACACACACACACACACACACACACACACUAUAAGUAAGUCCAAACUAGACAUUUUCUACACAAGCUGCAACAACAGAUAUAACAGCUAAAUGAGACUUUAUGAUCCAAUGCAUUUGCUGAAGGUUUAUGUUUUUUGUAUUUGCAAUCAUAAUUUUGCGUCAUGUAGAGCUGAUCAGACAAGCAAACAAUCAUAGUCAGAAAAUUGUCAUGUUUAAGAUGUUUAUAAUCAUGUAGUUUGAUGGUAAAGUCAAUGCCUGAGGCUUUUACUUUCACACAAUUAUUACGCAUAAUUUAUUCCCCCCAAAAUAUGGAUGUAUAAAAUCACAUGAGCAUCUUAUCUAGAAAUUGAGUUUUUAAUGUAUUUUCCCCCAAAAUUUUCUUUUUUCUUCCACACGAAUACAUGAAAUAAUAACUAAUCAAAAAUAACUUUAAAAAGGGCAUCUCUUCGGCAUUAAAUUUAGUCUUUUAUUCAAUAUCUGUAUUGCUGAGCCUCUACAGUAGGCUAUACCCUUUAAGUUACUUACAUUUGGACUCCUAAAAAAGUCUCUUAUGUCCCGUUUUCUUUUCUUUGACAUCCUUCAUACUUGAAUCCUUUAUACCACACACUCAUGCACGCACGCACACACACACACACACACGCACGCAAACACACACAAACAUAAAUGUAAAUGUAAAUGACACCACUGAUACUAAAAUCCAUUUAAGCUGACGUGAUCCAGGCACAAAAUGCCAAACAUGUUGAUAUACACUUCGUGGUUGCAGAUAACUUGCACUGUCUGCCUCCUAUCCAGUCCAAGCAAACACAAAGUUUUACACUUAAAAAUAAAUGAAUAAUUGAAGAAAGAAAAAAAGAAAAGACAAAGAGGCCUUUUUGAAAACUGAGGUAUGAAAAAAAGGUCACUCAGUCAUCAGGUGUCACCUCUGAGUGGUGGUUUCUGAAAAGAAAAAGUGUUUUGUGAAAUAUGUUCUUGAUCACACUUGCUGUUUGGCAAAUUAUUAUUAUUAUUUUUUAUUAAGUGUCCCCAGCUUCUUUCAGUGCUGUAGUGUUGCAGUCAUUGGCUUUUGAACAUAGUCGGAUGGAUGGUAUUGGGUUCAAAAUCCUGGUAGAGGGCCUUCUUUGCGGUGCUAGAAUUUUCAUGCUUUACUGCUGCAGGCAUGACACUCCUUAAAUCGUCACAAAGUUGUAGAGAGCAGAUAAAACUGAAGGAAUAAGCCCUGCAAAACAGCACUUUAUAGUAAUGAUUAGCACUAAUGCCUCAUACUGAGCAGGUUCUGGGUUUGAGCUCUGGCAGAGAUCUUCUCAUGGGUUCCUGGAAGUUUCUGGUUCCAAAUUCAUGUUAGAGCUUUCCUUGUUGCGCUUAAAUUGACUAGUCUUCUAACACUGGAGUAUAGAUCACACAUUUAGAGUCCCCUGACAGAUUGCAUUAUUGGUGUUGUUUUAAAACCUGGAGAACACAUAUGUGUUCCUUUGACUGCAGCACACUGAUCAGAUGUUCAGGUCUGUGGGCUUCACUUACUACAGAGAAGUAUCUCUGAUUUCAAGCAAAACAGAUCAUUUUAAUAGUCCACAACACAUGACCAAACAACUACUGCCAUCUACUGGUAAGAAGCUGCACCAUAUAACAACUGUGUUCAGAACUGAGCUGCCAGGGUUUAAACCAGGAUCAGAAAACAUGACCACAUCACUUCUGUGCCAGCAUCUUUACACUGGCUACCUGUACCUUUUAGAACUGAAUUCUGGAUUUUACUGAUGACUUUUAAAGCCCUAUGUUGCCUUUGAGACAUGUUAGUGUUGUACAAGUUGACACACAUUAAGAUCCUCAAUAUGAGUCUUCUGGUUAUUUCAGAUAUCAGACCAACAUCUAAAGAGGACAGAAAAAUCUAAGGCUCCAAAACUAUAAGAAGAUCUGCUGGAGGAGAUCAGAUCAGCUGGGUCAGUGAUCACUCUUAACUCCUCUCUGAAAACACACUCUUGUCUUAGAGCCUUUCCUGAACCCAGCUGAAUUUGAUUUUUUAUUUGAGUUUAUUUUAUUUUUUAUCCACACUAUAAAGCUCAGGAACCCUUUUACUUACUCUUUCAUUUGCUUUAUUUCCCUGUGUGCUUGCUGUAAAGCACCUUGGAUCAACUAUAGUUUGUCUAAAGCGCUCUAUGAUAAAAUGUGGUUUUAUAUACUUGUUUUGAGAAUUCUUUGAAACGAAUAGUACAUCUUUUUAAAUGUUUUAAACAUCUUUUAAACGUGGGUUAUUUCUUGAACUUGGCCUUGUGUGAUUUUAGCUCUAUUUUUAUUCAAUAUUUUUUUCUGCCCUUGUAAAGCACUUUGUAACCUGGUUUUUGAAAGUUUUUAUUGUUGCUGUUGUUGUGAAAAUAUUACAUUGCCACCUGCUUAAAAUAAUGGCAUAAGUAUUUUUUUUUAAACCUAGGCCAUUAUUUUAAUAGGGUGAAAAUAUGUCUAUUCUCUUUGAUGCAGCUGGAUCAAAAUCAUGUAAAUCGUUUUUUAACCAAAACGAACAUGUCAGACCACAGCUGAUGACUUUUGCCCCCUCUGACAUCUAAAAUGGCGUCCGGAAUUUACGUCCUGUCUGAUGCUCGUCAUCACAGAGUUCUCAGCAAGUCAACUCAUGUCUAAAAAUCUGAAUAAAUAACCAACUAGUGGAAACAAGCAGGAGUUUAGUUCAGAACAGCCCAGUAAACGAGGGGCUGUGAGGAUUUUCAAAGUUAAUGUGAAAUUGGAGCAUCCUGAAUUUUUCAUUGGGGUUUGGUAGUUAGAGUAGAGGAUAGUCAGACAUCACAUGUAGUUUGUAUAAUUCAAUUGGCAAAACAAUUAAUACAAAAUAAACGUAAAGGUAAUCUACAAUGACUUGUAUCAUUUGGAUAUUUUUAAAUCAACGUUUAAUCGAGUUUACUCACCUCUGGAAUUUCUUGCUGCGACACAAUCAGCAGUCAAAGUAAAAGUAAAAAAUCAGAUAAGGGAUUCGGACAGGUUAGGUCACUUUAAAAAAAAAAGUAACAAUUAUAACCUUUUUUUUAUUGGCUCAGAACUCUGUCACUCACAGCAGUCCUGCUCAGAUAUUAGUUUGAUUGGCUGUCACUCAAGGACAAUUCUUGAUCGGGAAAUAUCAUAGACUGUAUAUAGCAUGGACAGCCUGGUUCCGCCUUCCGCCUGUACGGAUUUAAAGCCAAAAAGCCCUCGGUAAUUCCGGGGUUUUCUACACUUCCUUGAAACCAGAGCUGUGCCGUAGCGUUAUACGCAGACGUUUUUGGCUGGGCGGGAGAAUCGGCUCGAUAACGCUCCGCUCAAAAAGUGCCUCCGCCCCCGGAUGUCCUUCCAGCCUUUCAUUCGUAACGCUAAUAGCUUCCCCGCUCGUCGCGACCAAGAAUAAGUAAGUUCUACUUCUCCUAAUAUAAUGUAAAAUGUGUCAGCGGUCAUGUCACAUGUCGGUUAACACAGUUUACUGCAGAACAACUCAUUUUUCCAAUGCAACAAAAGAGAAAAAUCAAGAAAACGCUAGCAAACCCGAUCGGUCUUGACGAUGAACGAAAAAGAGUGACGCACAAGCGGCAAGUGCAAAGUGUAGAGAAUGACGCAAUUUCCUGUUUUUAUGACUCCUAGUAACUUUAAAAUGGAGCUGCAGAGAGAGAAAAAGACCUGAACAUAAACCAGUCUAAUAAUAACUACAUGUCAACAUCGCAAUCAGGGGUGAGAAAAGUGUAUUUCUGAGUGUGCUGUUCUUGGGGUGGCUUCAUCCGGUGAGGAGGCAGACUAUAUUCUACAUACAGUACAUUCUACAUACAGUCUAUGGUCUUAACAUUUAGACUGAACAAAAGGACUGGUCAAAGCCAUGAUGCUGUUUACCCACACAUGCACUCUAACAGAAAAUAAAAGUGACAGGAAUGAUGAAAAACAUUAAACUCUAAAAGCAGCAGGAGUCUUUGUCACAGCAGGGGAGCACCACUGGAAGCUCUCUGGAGUUUGACAUUGAGUUCAUGUG
rnacentral:lncRNA from 1 species